GUCAAAUCAGGCUGACCAGGCACCAAGCUUUUAGGGAGGCAGUGGGUAAGCGCCUGGCAUCUGGACAGACAGGCAUUCCACUGCUGACAGCUCACAUCUCAGCAGCGCUCACACUCACACCGGCCACCGUGAACAGCUUCUUGGUCCUUACCAUCUCGGUAGCUUAGAUGGGAAUAAGGACGGGUGGUGCCCAGCUAUGCACACCAACGCCUGAGGAUUAAAUGUAAUUUGGGACUGCGCAAGCACUUAGAGCUGUGCUGGGAUCAAGAAAGUGUUAAUUAUUGUCUGGGGUUCGAGGGCCUGUGAGAAUGAAAACUGAUGACAACGUGACUGAUUUUUGCGCAUACAUGAAAAAACUUGUCAAAGGCUUUCAGAGCCUCGUGACCCUCUGCUUCCCAUUCUGGUCCUAGAGAUGCGGAGCUCAGAGCCACUGUUUUCCUGUGUGGCUCUUGACUGUUUCUAAGCCUCUCUGAGCCUCAGUUUCCUAAUGUGGAAAAUGGGAUCAUCUUAUGGGAUCAUGGUGAAAAUUGAGAAGACAUUGCUGGAGGCUUAGGAGCAGACUGGGACCUGGUUCCCAAUUCAGAACCUCCAGCACUCCUCUUAUGAGUCAAGACACUUAAACUCUCCAGCCUGAAACAAGAUAGGCUUCUGGCUGCCCUCGUGACCCUAGCCCAGGCCUAACUGCCAAGAACAGCACUGGGGAUCCAGCCUAAGGAGAAACAGGUAGAAUUCUGAACCUGGCACUCCAGACAAGCUUCCAGUGUCUAAAGAGAAGAAAGAAUCUAUCCGUGAAUUCCUCCAGGUAUGGUUUAUUAUUUAAUUGCACUUAAGAUGUUUCCUACUAUGCUCACACAUAAGUCUUAAUGAGUUAUUGAUAUUCUGAUUCUUAAGAUCAAAAUUGUUUUAAAUGGAGAAAGGGAAACUGUAAAAACCGGUGGGUUUAGAGAAUCGAAGUCUGGCUGAAGCUAACCGAUGGUCACGAUGGGGAAAGCAGGAAAUGACCUCUGACUUUGUUCUUGCAGGUUCCUGAGGAGUGGAGGGGGGUAGGGAAGGCCAGAAGCCGCAGAAUGAUGAUAACUGUCAUAUCCCAUGCCUACUAACUCAGCACUCCCUCCCCUCAGCCUGACUGCCCUGCUGUAGACAGAUACAUGAGCUUCCAUAUUAGAAGAGCUAACGGAAUGGGUAGAGGAUUGUGGUUUCUUCCUCUAUGUCCCCAAGGCCCUACUUGACACAUCAUGUGCAGUCAAUAAACAUUGAAUGAAUAAGUGAUUGUGGUAGGAAAAUAAUGUGGCAUGGAAGAUGUCCAAUUUCUGAGCUCCACAAUUUCCUUGCAAACUUGGAAAUGGCUCCAUGAGCCACUAGAGUCCGGGCCACGUGUUACAAGGCGACAGACACAGAGUGGGCAUGCCUGCUCAGCUCCAGCUGGCCUAGGUGGCACAGGGCCUGACAGACUCCAUCCCACUCAUCUUGUACCCAUGGUGACCAGGCCAGUUCUUUUAGCUGGCU
rnacentral:lncRNA from 1 species